rnacentral:rRNA from 1 species
AACGGACGCUGGCGGCAUGCCUAACACAUGCAAGUCGAACGAGACCUUCGGGUCUAGUGGCGCACGGGUGCGUAACGCGUGGGAAUCUGCCCUUGGGUCUGGAAUAACAGUUAGAAAUGACUGCUAAUACCGGAUGAUGACUUCGGUCCAAAGAUUUAUCGCCCAGGGAUGAGCCCGCGUCGGAUUAGCUAGUUGGUGAGGUAAAGGCUCACCAAGGCGACGAUCCGUAGCUGGUCUGAGAGGAUGAUCAGCCACACUGGGACUGAGACACGGCCCAGACUCCUACGGGAGGCAGCAGUGGGGAAUAUUGGACAAUGGGCGAAAGCCUGAUCCAGCAAUGCCGCGUGAGUGAUGAAGGCCUUAGGGUUGUAAAGCUCUUUUACCCGGGAUGAUAAUGACAGUACCGGGAGAAUAAGCCCCGGCUAACUCCGUGCCAGCCGCCGCCGUAAGAC